rnacentral:lncRNA from 1 species
GAGCACCCCUACCGUCCUGCUGGAAGUCGGGGCUGGGCUGUCAGGUCUCCAAGUCCCGCGCAGAGCCGGCGGGAUGGAGCCGCCAAACCACGCGGAGUCGGGGAGCAUGGAGAGAAUCCCCUAACUCCUCCUCCGUGGGGCUUCCCGCGUGGAUUCCCACCCAGUCUCGGUUUGCCGGGGGAGAAGGUGGAGGUGGAGAAAGGGGAGGAGAGGUGGUCUGCCCACGGCCACCAGUGCUCAGGACCUGCGGGCCGAUGGCCAGUGUGGGCGGUGACACCCUUCCCUCGAUGUGGGAGUCACGCCCCACCGUCCCUCCUGCACGCUGGGACAUCUCACUGCGGACGAGGAAACUGAGGCCGGGGGAAGGGGGAUCUCCGGCGCGGAUGCCGGCUGGAAGGCUCCAUCCAGUCCACGCGACCCACCGAGCCGAGGGCUGCUCGCACUCCCGCACAGGCGGCGGAGCUGCCUCGUCGACCCGAAACCGCGGCCAGAAGAUGUCUCCACGGUUGCCUGAGCCCGGGGUCGCAGCCAGGGUUUGGCUUCCAGACCCCCAGGGGAUCCUUCAGCCAGCCCUGGCCGCCCCCGCCGCCUCCCUAGAAACGUGCUUUGGCCGCAAGAGGGCGACAAAGCCCAGACUGCGCGAGUAGACGCGGCGGGUCUCUGGACGUUCCCGGGGCUCCGCGGUGACCGGGUAACAAAGAGCCUGAGCCAGGGCCACUCCAGGGCUCGGUCCAUCAGCAGGCUGUCCAUCACGGGUGAGAUCAUCUGGUACCUGCACGUGACCACCCCACAGACUCUAAGCCGCUUUGACCCGACUUCCUCCUUUCCGACAUCGGUUUCCCUGGUUUCCCCGUCUGUCAGCUGUGGGUUCCAGGAAGAGCUGGGGAGUGGGGCGGCUGCUUCUUCAAGACCGCUCAGAGGCCCCUCCUCCUUGCCACCUUCCCUGUUCCUCCCACUUGGACUGGCAUCUCUGCUUCACACCAGGCACCUCCAGGGUGCACUGGGUGGAGUUCAGGAGGCCAGCUGACCUUCAGCACUAGGCUGCCAGAGUGGGCAGUGAGCCACACCAAGCAAGCUGGCUGUCACAGGCCUGGCUGCAGCUGAUACCAAUGGGACCCCAGCAGUUCAACAGGGACUUCCUCCCUCCCAGCCUCCAUUUGCUCAUCUGUACAGGCUCUGUGCCCUCAGGUCCCAGGCACAUGCUGCCUUCAAAAUAAAAUACAUUUUAAACUGAGGGCAUGGGGCCCUAACAGAGUCCUAACAGAAGCUUAAUGUGGGAAUCUCAGUUCCCAGACCAGGGAUUGAACCCAGGCUGAAGAGGCAAGACUGUCCAGUCCUCACCACUAGGCCUGUCAGGUUUCGGGGUUGUCACUGGGGGCUCCUGAGAGUCUCUCGUGGUGUGGGAGGCAGUGAAGAAGAAAGCCAGCUCAGUGGGUGGGUGCUGUUUUGCCUAUGGGCCCUGGGAGAGCCUGCAUAGAGGGAGGAGUCAGGGUCCCCUGGGUGUUCCUAGACCCAGGAUCCCUGGGCUCCUUGUUCUGCAGCAGGCAGGGUCCCGAGGCCAGUGAGGUGGCCUGGGAAGCAGACUCAUUGUCACCUUGCCAAGGGACCACAGGUCCCCCUCCUGCCAAGGUCCUCAGCCCAGGAGAGGCAAAGCGGCCUGAACGGCAGGUCUGCAGCUGUGCUGCUCAGGACAGAUGGCUAAGUAGCUGUGACAGUCCAGCACACUACCUGCCCAGGUCACCUAGGCCCCUGGGACAUGCAAAGCCCAGGGCUUCACUUCAUAAGUACUUGGAGGUGGCUGGGGUUGGAACAGUGAAACUGGUGCCUCCAGGACCUGGUAAUGAAGGCCCAGUCCUGCUGGGUCUCAGUCCCUAACUGAUGACACCCCUUGGCCCUGAGAAGGGACAUGUGCAUGGGACCCAGCCACUGCUCCCUGCACAUUUCACCCCCACCCUGGGCUCCCAGCCUCCAAGGAAUGUACUUCUGCACCUGCAAACCGGCUCCUGUCUUAGCAGCCCCAUCAGCCCCAUGGAAGGGGAGAGAAAGGCACCCCUCUCACAAUGACAGCCCCUCACCACUAGCCCCAGCCCAACCCUAAGUGGAGGGCCAGCCAGUGCCUGUGCUGAGGGCCUGGAGGCAGGAAUGCCUCCCCCUCCCCAAGAACAAGACACCCGACCCCCUUGCUGGCUCCUUCAAGCCUGGUAGGUGCAGUCGCCCAUGCCUGUGUCCAAGGCCUGGCCCCUGCCCCACAGCUGCACCUCCACCAGGAUGGGAUCUGCUCCGCUGGGCUCAGCUCCAAUGGGAUCAUCAACCCUGUGGCUAACCCACAUCCUGCCACUUCUGGCCCCCCAGGCUCCACCCUGCCUAUGCCUCCAGUAUUCCCUGCAUCCUCCCCCUGCUCACUGAUUCCUCUGGCAGGCUGCCCUCCCAGCAGCCACAAGGAUCUUCUUUUCUUCUUCUCCUCUUUUUUUUUUUUUCCCUUUCUUUUUGCGGGCCCUGCAGUAUAUGGAGUUCCAAGGCUAGGGAUCAGAUCUGAGCCACAGUUGCAACCUAUGCAGCAGCUGUGGCAACGCUGGAUACUUAACCCACUCACUGUGCCCAGCCUGGGAUCGAACCUGAGUCUCAUCACUCCCAAGAUGUGCACCACAGCAGGAACUCCCAAAGAACUGCUUCUUUUUUUGUUUUUAGGGCCGCACUUGCGGCAUAUGGAAGUUCCCAGGCUAGGGGUCCAAUCAGAGCUACAGCUGCCGGCCUACACCACAGCCACAGCAACGCAGAAUCCGAGCUGCAUCUAAGAUCUACACCACAGCUCACAGCAACGCCAGACCCUUAACCCACUGAGGCCAGAGAUCAAACCUGCAAUUUCAUGGUUCCUAGUCGGAUUCAUUUCCGCUGCCUCAGAACAGGAACUCCCCAAGGAUCUUCUUAUAGUGACAAGCAUCACCUCUUCACAGAGUUUUCCAGAUCACUUCAUGUAGCAUGGGGCCCACUAUCCAACGCUCCAGCCUCCACUUGGCUGUUAUUUCCAUCAGCACCCUGCCCAGCAAACACUGGCUCUUAUUUAGCAUAAGCUCUUGGGUGCCUGUCUUCUUGGCUACACCAGGAGGGAGAGCAUCUUCUGUUGGCCACUUUUUCCAGCAUCCAGAACAAUGCCUGGCAGCUGGUGUUCAAUAAAUGAUUGACUUUAUUCAUUAAAAU